UUGAGCCGUAUGCGGGGAAACUCGCACGUCCGGUUCUGAGGGGGCCGGGAAGAUCGCAAGACCUUGCCGGCUACCCGAC
rnacentral:ncRNA from 1 species